CAAUAGCGUAUAUUAAAGUUGUUGCGGUAAAAAAGCUCGUAGUUGGAUUUCUGUUGAGAGCGACCGGUCCAUACCAUGUAUGCGUAUCUGGCUUGCUCUCGGCAUCCUCUCGAUAGACGUUACUGCGCUUGAUUGCGUGGUGCGGAUCUCGGGACUUUUACUUUGAGGAAAUUAGAGUGUUCACGGCAGGCUUUCGCCAGAAUACAUUAGCAUGGAAUAAUACUAUAGGAUCUUGGUUCUAUUUUGUUGGUUUCUAGAAUUGAGAUAAUGACUAAUAGGGACAAUUGGGGGCAUUCGUAUCAACACGUCAGAGGUGGAAUUCUUGGAUUGUGUUGCGACGAACUACUGCGAAAGCAUUUGCCAAGGAUGUUUUCAUUGA
rnacentral:rRNA from 1 species